GAUGAACGCUGGCGGCGUGCCUAAUACAUGCAAGUCGAGCGAACAGACGAGGAGCUUGCUCCUCUGACGUUAGCGGCGGACGGGUGAGUAACACGUGGAUAACCUACCUAUAAGACUGGGAUAACUUCGGGAAACCGGAGCUAAUACCGGAUAAUAUAUUGAACCGCAUGGUUCAAUAGUGAAAGACGGUUUUGCUGUCACUUAUAGAUGGAUCCGCGCCGCAUUAGCUAGUUGGUAAGGUAACGGCUUACCAAGGCAACGAUGCGUAGCCGACCUGAGAGGGUGAUCGGCCACACUGGAGCUGAGACACGGUCCAGACUCCUACGGGAGGCAGCAGUAGGGAAUCUUCCGCAAUGGGCGAGAGCCUGACGGAGCAACGCCGCGUGAGUGAUGAAGGUCUUCGGAUCGUAAAACUCUGUUAUGAGGGAAGAACAAAUGUGUAAGUAACUAUGCACGUCUUGACGGUACCUAAUCAGAAAGCCACGGCUAACUACGUG
rnacentral:rRNA from 1 species